rnacentral:rRNA from 1 species
GGAUCUGUCCGUUGGUCGGGCUUCACUGUCCGUACUGGCGUGAUGGGUUCUUACCUUCUGAAUAACCAGCAUGUCAUCCACUUGGUGCGUUGGGGAAGCAGGACUAUUACCUUGAAAAAUUAGAGUGCUCAAAGCAGGCCAGCGCCUGAAUACAUUAGCAUAGAAUAAUAAAAUAGGACGGCAUGGUUCUAUUUUGUUGGUUUCUAGGAUCACCGUAAUG